rnacentral:rRNA from 1 species
UACGGAGGGUGCGAGCGUUGUCCGGAAUCACUGGGCGUAAAGGGCGCGUAGGCGGCCUGAUAAGUAGGGGGUGAAAUCUUGCGGCUUAACCGCAAGGCUGCCUUCUAAACUGUCAGGCUCGAGCACAGUAGAGGCAGGUGGAAUUCCCGGUGUAGCGGUGGAAUGCGUAGAUAUCUGGAGGAACACCGGUGGCGAAGGCGGCGUUCUGGACUGCAACUGACACUGAGGAACGAAAGCCAGGGGAGCAAACGGG